rnacentral:rRNA from 1 species
AUUGAACGCUAGCGGGAGGCCUUACACAUGCAAGUCGAACGAGUGGCGGACGGGUGAGUAAUGUAUGGGAAACUGCCUGGUGGCGGGGGAUAACUACUGGAAAGGGUAGCUAAUACCGCAUACUAUCAGAGGUGCCCAGAUGGGAUUAGCUUGUUGGUGGGGUAACGGCUCACCAAGGCGACGAUCCCUAGCUGGUUUGAGAGGAGGACCAGCCACACUGGAACGGAGACACUGUCCAGACUCCUACGGGAGGCAGCAGUGGGGAAGUUUGGACAAUGGGCGAAAGCCUGAUGCAGCCAUGCCGCGUGUAUGAAGAAGGCCUUCGGGUUGUAAAGUACUUUCAGCGGGGAGGCGUUACCCGCAGAAGAAGCACCGGCUAACUCCGUGCCAGCAGCCGCGGUAAUAC